UACGGGGGGGGCAAGCGUUGUUCGGAAUUACUGGGCGUAAAGGGCUCGUAGGCGGCCAACUAAGUCAGACGUGAAAUCCCUCGGCUUAACCGGGGAACUGCGUCUGAUACUGGAUGGCUAGAGGUUGGGAGAGGGAUGCGGAAUUCCAGGUGUAGCGGUGAAAUGCGCAGAUAUCGGGAGGAACACCAAUGGCGAAGGCAGCUCGCUGGGACGGUACUGACGCUGAGGCGCGAAAGCGUGGGGAGCAAACAGG
rnacentral:rRNA from 1 species